CCUACGGGAGGCAGCAGUGGGGAAUUUUCCGCAAUGGGCGCAAGCCUGACGGAGCAACGCCGCGUGAGGGAUGAAGGCCUCUGGGCUGUAAACCUCUUUUCUCAAGGAAGAAGACCUGACGGUACUUGAGGAAUAAGCCACGGCUAAUUCCGUGCCAGCAGCCGCGGUAAUACGGGAGUGGCAAGCGUUAUCCGGAAUUAUUGGGCGUAAAGCGUCCGCAGGCGGCCUGUUAAGUCUGUCGUUAAAGCGUGGAGCUCAACUCCAUUUAAGCGAUGGAAACUGGAAGGCUAGAGUGUGGUAGGGGCAGAGGGUAUUCCCGGUGUAGCGGUGAAAUGCGUAGAUAUCGGGAAGAACACCAGUGGCGAAGGCGCUCUGCUGGGCCAUAACUGACGCUCAUGGACGAAAGCCAGGGGAGCGAAAGGGAUUAGAUACCCCUGUAGUCCUGGCCGUAAACGAUGAACACUAGGUGUCGGGGGAAUCGACCCCCUCGGUGUCGUAGCUAACGCGUUAAGUGUUCCGCCUGGGGAGUACGCACGCAAGUGUGAACUUAAAGUAGUAUUGACGNNGAGAGUCGACCGAGCACACGAGGUAG
rnacentral:rRNA from 1 species